rnacentral:rRNA from 1 species
UACGAACGCUGGCGGCGUGCCUAAUACAUGCAAGUCGAACGCAGUGGGGACGGGUGAGUCACAAGUGGGUAACCUGCCCAUCAGAGGGGAUAACACUUGGAAACAGGUGCUAAACCGAUACUGAUGGAUGGACCAGCGGUGCAUUAGCUCGUUGGUGAUGUAACGGCUCCCCAAGGCCACGAUGCAUAGCCGCGCUGAGAGCGUGAUGAGCCACACUGGGACUGAGACACGGCCCAGACUCCUACGGGAGGCAGCAGUAGGGAAGCUGCGGCAAUGGACGAAAGUCUGACCGAGCAACGCCGCGUGAGUGAAGAAGGUUUGCGGAUCGUAAAACUCUGUUGGUAGAGAAGCGGUAUCUAACCAGAAAGCCACGGCUAACGACGUGCCAGCCGCCGCGGUAAUAC